AAAUUGAAGAGUUUGAUCAUGGCUCAGAUUGAACGCUGGCGGCAGGCCUAACACAUGCAAGUCGAACGGUAACAGGAAGAAGCUUGCUUCUUUGCUGACGAGUGGCGGACGGGUGAGUAAUGUCUGGGAAACUGCCCGAUGGAGGGGGAUAACUACUGGAAACGGUAGCUAAUACCGCAUAACGUCGCAAGACCAAAGAGGGGGACCUUCGGGCCUCUUGCCAUCGGAUGUGCCCAGAUGGGAUUAGCUUGUUGGUGAGGUAACGGCUCACCAAGGCGACGAUCCCUAGCUGGUCUGAGAGGAUGACCAGCCACACUGGAACUGAGACACGGUCCAGACUCCUACGGGAGGCAGCAGUGGGGAAUAUUGCACAAUGGGCGCAAGCCUGAUGCAGCCAUGCCGCGUGUAUGAAGAAGGCCUUCGGGUUGUAAAGUACUUUCAGCGGGGAGGAA
rnacentral:rRNA from 1 species